rnacentral:rRNA from 1 species
GACGAACGCUGGCGGCGUGCUUAACACAUGCAAGUCGAGCGGUAAGGCCCUUUCGGGGGUACACGAGCGGCGAACGGGUGAGUAACACGUGGGUGACCUGCCCUCAGCUCUGGGAUAAGCCUGGGAAACCCGGGUCUAAUACUGGAUAUGACUCCAUGACGCAUGUUGUGGGGUGGAAAGCCUUGUGCGGCUGAGGAUGGGCCCGCGGCCUAUCAGCUUGUUGGUGGGGUGAGGCCUACCAAGGCGACGACGGGUAGCCGGCCUGAGAGGGCGACCGGCCACACUGGGACUGAGACACGGCCCAGACUCCUACGGGAGGCAGCAGUGGGGAAUCUUGCGCAAUGGGCGAAAGCCUGACGCAGCGACGCCGCGUGAGGGAUGACGGCCUC